rnacentral:rRNA from 1 species
GAUGAACGCUGGCGGCGUGCCUCAAACAUGCAAGUCGAGCGGGGCUAUGUAAUAUCGCAAGGUAGAACAUAGCCUAGCGGCGAACGGGUGAGUAACACGUGGGUAACCUGCCUGGAAGACAGGGAUAACGAUUCGAAAGGGUCGCUAAUACCUGAUAAUAUCCUUUCAUCGCAUGGUGAUAGGAAGAAAGGGGAAACCCGCUUUCAGAUGGGCCCGCGUCCCAUCAGCUAGUUGGUAAGGUAAAGGCUUACCAAGGCGACGACGGGUAGCCGGUCUGAGAGGAUGUACGGCCACACUGGGACUGAGAUACGGCCCAGACUCCUACGGGAGGCAGCAGUUGGGAAUCUUAGGCAAUGGACGAAAGUCUGACCUAGCGACGCCGCGUGAGGGAAGAAGGCCUUCGGGUUGUAAACGUCUGUCAUGGGGAAGGAAGUAAGUGACGGUACCCAACGAGGAAGCCCUGCUAACUACGUG